rnacentral:rRNA from 1 species
AGUGGCGGACGGGUGAGUAACGCGUAAGAAUCUAACUUCAGGACGGGGACAACAGUGGGAAACGACUGCUAAUACCCGAUGUGCCGCGAGGUGAAACCUAAUUGGCCUGAAGAAGAGCUUGCGUCUGAUUAGCUAGUUGGUGGGGUAAGAGCCUACCAAGGCGACGAUCAGUAGCUGGUCUGAGAGGAUGAGCAGCCACACUAGGACUGAGACACGGCCCAGACUCCUACGGGAGGCAGCAGUGGGGAAUUUUCCGCAAUGGGCGAAAGCCUGACGGAGCAACGCCGCGUGAGGGAGGAAGGUCUUUGGAUUGUAAACCUCUUUUCUCAAGGAAGAAGUUCUGACGGUACUUGAGGAAUCAGCCUCGGCUAACUCCGUGCCAGCAGCCGCGGUAAUACGGGGGAGGCAAGCGUUAUCCGGAAUUAUUGGGCGUAAAGCGUCCGCAGGUGGUCAGCCAAGUCUGCCGUCAAAUCAGGUUGCUUAACGACCUAAAGGCGGUGGAAACUGGCAGACUAGAGAGCAGUAGGGGUAGCAGGAAUUCCCAGUGUAGCGGUGAAAUGCGUAGAGAUUGGGAAGAACAUCGGUGGCGAAAGCGUGCUACUGGGCUGUAUCUGACACUCAGGGACGAAAGCUAGGGGAGCGAAAGGGAUUAGAUACCCCUGUAGUCCUAGCCGUAAACGAUGGAUACUAGGCGUGGCUU